CCAAUGAUGUACAGAAUAGGUUGUCUCAGAGAUGAUGUGGUCUUCUUCAUCUAUCUGUACCAGCGCUGGAUUUAUAGAGUGGAUCCCAACCGUGUGAAUGAGUUCGGGACCAGCGGAGUGGAGCAGAGCAAGGACAGCCCAGCCCAGCCAGCAGCUGCUGACACAACCGCUGCCAUCACAGAUAAAUCAGAAGGGGAGAAGAAAAAUGAUUAACCCCUUUUAACCCCCUCCCUUGCCCUCUGGUCUUGUGAAGGUGUGAUAAGGCAUCUUCAAGGCUGAGUUUGUUUAAUUGUCAGGGAAGGGAACUGGAUUAAUGGUAUUACGUAAAAGACUGCAGGAAAAAAAGUUCAGUUCAGCAUUCCUCCUUUGUGUGGAAUCCACAGGAAAAGAAUAUUUAAUGUUGACUUCUUAAAAUCAUUCUUUUUCAAUCUCCCAUAUUUUUGCAGUCAAAGUGAAGUAAUAUGUGAUGUACUGUAUUGUAUAUUUUUGGGUUGGUAACACUAAUAAUUUGAAGGGUUAGGUGGUCCGUAAUUAAAUCCUAUUGGCUGGAGUGAAUAGGGCGAUUGCAGUACAUAUCAUUUUGUUUUUUGAAGUAUAAGAGCGAGGAAAAGAGGCCAAACGCAGCCUUGCUGGUCUCCUGAUUCUGUGUACUUAUUUUCUGUUCAUUCCAUGUGUGAAGGGGUACCAGGAAGCAGUUGUGUAGUGUAGGACGGAGGUGGCCAA